rnacentral:lncRNA from 1 species
AGGAGCUUAGCGACGUCGGAUUAUCCUCACCUUUAAUUUAGAUGAUUUGAUAUGAAUCAUUGAAUCAGAAGGAAAUCUCAUCUAAUGACCUAGAUUUAUAGUACUUAUAUGACCUAGAUUUAUAGUACUACAUCUCGCCGAUGAAGACCACGACGAGGAUUCAAUAGGCGGCGGUUUUGGGAACGGCGACUAAAGCGGAGGGGGAAUCUUCGGGUUUGGUUGGUGUGGGGGGAAUCAUGGAGUUCGGUUGGUGCGAAAGGAAUCAUCGAGUUCGGUGGGGGAAUCAUCGGGGUUGGCGGGGAAUCUAUCGGAUCUAGCUUCCUGAAAUUGGUUUUGGGUUUCCACUGUCCAAUAGACUCGAUUCUGGGUUUACAAGGUCGGAUCUAGCUUCCCAAAAUCACGAGUUCGGAGGAAUCUACAGUUAAGGUUUCGAAGGGUUGUCUUCCAAUAAAACGAUUUCUGAUUUGGGUUCCAAUUAUCUCUAAUAUUCAUCUUCCCUAACGUUGCAGAUAUAGCUUUUCAUUGAACGAAUUUGGAGGAUUCAACAGCUAAUAAAUCGCAGGUUUGUUUUCCGAUUUGGGUUUCAUGCAUCCUUAAUAUUCAACCUAAUUUUGCAGGUCUAGCUUUCAAUUGAACGAGUUCGGAGGAAUCGAAAACUAAGGAAUUGCAGAUUUGUCUUUCAAUUCAACGAUUUCUGAUUUUGGUUUCAUUCAACCUUAUUUUUCAACCUAAUAAUGUAGUAGCUUCUGGGUUGCAAUGGGAAGUUUUAUGUAAUCCAGUAGAUGCUGCGUUGCGUUAAAUUUGUUUUGUUUAUUUAUAAAGUUUUAUGUAAUCCAAAGCUGUUGAUUGAUGCUGCGUUACUUAACUAUUGAACUUGACUAGUACUUGAAAUAACCAGUUCUGCAGUAGUAGCGUUUUUAUAAUUAUUCACAUAGUCGUACAUUCUUGUCUUAUUGACAUAUCUUUGGAUGUAAUGACAACACUACUACUUGGAUGGAGUAUUGUUUUCUUGAUUGUAACAAAUAGUUCUAUUUGUGCAGCUACAGAUUGAGGAUGUUUGAAUUAGAUUAAGAUUCAUUCCGUUUAUGUAUUAUUUUGAUAAAUUUUUGUCGUAAGAUAAUCUGGACAGAAAAACUGGCUGAGAUUGGAAAGCUAGCAUCCUUUGUGAUUCGAUGUAACCCGAAUAGGAUUUUGACUGUGAUGGGUAUUCCUCCAAGUAACGAAUAGCUGGAAGCAAUAAAGAAAUUUGGUUUCUAUGGAAUUACAGAC